GCCGGGCAUGGUGGCGGGUGCCUGUAAUCCCAGCUACUUGGGAGGCUGAGGCAGGAGAAUCGCUUGAGCCCAGGAGGAGGUUGGUUGCAGUGAACCGAGAUCACACCUCUGCACUCCAGCCUGGGCAACAGAGCAAGACUCCGUCUCAA
rnacentral:sRNA from 1 species